UUUCAGAAAUCCUCUUCUUCGAUCGGCGGCGAUGGGCCACCGUGGGCACCGAAGACUCUUUCUUUGAGAUGGUCUCCCUACGACCUAGUGGAAUUUACACCAAAGCUCAGCUCCAGAAGGAGCUCGAAACUCUAGCCACUUGCGGAAUGUUCGAGAAAGUGGACAUGGAAGGAAAAACUAAACCAGAUGGAACCCUAGGCAUAACCAUAUCAUUCGCAGAAAGCACCUGGCAGUCAGCUGAUAAGUUUAGGUGCAUUAAUGUUGGAUUAAUGCCGCAAUCAAAACCCAUUGAAAUGGAUCUGGAUAUGACUGACAAAGAGAAGCUGGAGUAUUACAGGAGUCAGGAGAAGGAUUACAAGAGGAGGAUAGAGAAGGCGAGGCCUUGUUUGUUACCAAUGGCGGGNUGCUUCAGAUGUUGAGAGAGCAGGGAAAGGUUAGCGCAAGGUUGUUGCAAAAGAUUAGGGAG
rnacentral:misc_RNA from 1 species